GACCUCGGAUCAGGUAGGAAUACCCGCUGAACUUAAGCAUAUCAAUAAGCGGAGGAAAAGAAACCAACAGGGAUUACCUCAGUAACGGCGAGUGAAGCGGUAAUAGCUCAAAUUUAAAAUCUGGCUCUUUCAGGGUCCGAGUUGUAAUUUGUAGAGGAUGUUUCGGGCACGGUUACGGUUUAAAUUUCUUGGAACAGAAUGUCAAAGAGGGUGAGAGUCCCGUCUUGAACCGAUUACUUCGUCCAUGUGAAACUCCUUCGACGAGUCGAGUUGUUUGGGAAUGCAGCUCAAAAUGGGUGGUAAAUUUCAUCUAAAGCUAAAUAUUGGCCAGAGACCGAUAGCGCACAAGUAGAGUGAUCGAAAGAUGAAAAGCACUUUGAAAAGAGAGUUAAACAGUAUGUGAAAUUGUUGAAAGGGAAGCGCUUGUAAUCAG
rnacentral:rRNA from 1 species